rnacentral:rRNA from 1 species
CCUACGGGUGGCAGCAGUGGGGGAUAUUGCACAAUGGGGGAAACCCUGAUGCAGCGACGCCGCGUGAGUGAAGAAGUAUCUCGGUAUGUAAAGCUCUAUCAGCAGGGGAGAAAAAAGACGGUACUGGACUAAGAAGCCCCGGCUAACUACGUGCCAGCAGCCGCGUUAAUACGUAGGGGGCAAGCGUUAUCCGGAUUUACUGGGUGUAAAGGGAGCGUAGACGGCAAUACAAGUCGGAAGUGAAAUACCCGGGCUCAACCUGGGAACUGCUUUGGAAACUGGAUGGCUAGAGUGCGGGAGAGGUAGGCGGAAUUCCUAGUGUAGCGGUGAAAUGCGUAGAUAUGAGGAGGAACACCGGUGGCGAAGGCGGCUUACUGGACCGUAACUGACGUUGAGGCUCGAAAGCGUGGGGAGCAAACAGGAUUAGAUACCCCGGUAGUC